rnacentral:tRNA from 1 species
UCCCGUUUAGCUCAGUGGUGGAGCACUUCCCCGUACAGGAAGCGGUCACUGGUUCGAUCCCAGUAACGGGAG